rnacentral:rRNA from 1 species
GCCGUAAAACCCCCAAUUUUCCAAAGGUUGACCUCGGAUCAGGUAGGAAUACCCG